rnacentral:rRNA from 1 species
CUUGGACAUUUAGAGGAAGUAAAAGUCGUAACAAGGUCUCCGUUGGUGAACCAGCGGAGGGAUCAUUACCGAGUUUACAACUCCCAAACCCAAUGUGAACCAUACCAAACUGUUGCCUCGGCGGGGUCACGCCCCGGGUGCGUCGCAGCCCCGGAACCAGGCGCCCGCCGGAGGGACCAACCAAACUCUUUCUGUAGUCCCCUCGCGGACGUUAUUUCUUACAGCUCUGAGCAAAAAUUCAAAAUGAAUCAAAACUUUCAACAACGGAUCUCUUGGUUCUGGCAUCGAUGAAGAACGCAGCGAAAUGCGAUAAGUAAUGUGAAUUGCAGAAUUCAGUGAAUCAUCGAAUCUUUGAACGCACAUUGCGCCCGCCAGUAUUCUGGCGGGCAUGCCUGUCCGAGCGUCAUUUCAACCCUCGAACCCCUCCGGGGGGUCGGCGUUGGGGAUCGGGAACCCCUAAGACGGGAUCCCGGCCCCGAAAUACAGUGGCGGUCUCGCCGCAGCCUCUCCUGCGCAGUAGUUUGCACAACUCGCACCGGGAGCGCGGCGCGUCCACGUCCGUAAAACACCCAACUUCUGAAAUGUUGACCUCGGAUCAGGUAGGAAUACCCGCUGAACUUAAGCAUAUCAAUAAGCGGAGGA